ensembl:lncRNA novel transcript
AAGAACCAAAGGAACGGAACCUCUGCUUCCAAGUGUACGGUCAGGAGCAGCGUGUUAAUUAAGUGAGUCAUCUUCCGUGGCAGAAUCCCAGGGUACAUGGGACCAGACUUCGCGAGGCUGGCAUUAGGAAAAGGAAUGUGAGGGAUCCUCCUCCCCAAACCGUAUUCUCAUUUUCUUGUAAGAGCUGUACGUGUUCAUGAGGAAGAUACUGCAUUCAAAGAACGAAAUCACCAGCAGCUUUGGCAAGAAUUCAAAUUUGGGCUGAUGCCUUCGGCCGGAUAAAAUUUUCAGAAGCAGUGAU